GAUGAACGCUGGCGGCGUGCCUAAUACAUGCAAGUCGAGCGAAUGGAUUAAGAGCUUGCUCUUAUGAAGUUAGCGGCGGACGGGUGAGUAACACGUGGGUAACCUGCCCAAAAGACUGGGAUAACUCCGGGAAACCGGGGCUAAUACCGGAUAACAUUUUGAACCGCAUGGUUCGAAAUUGAAAGGCGGCUUCGGCUGUCACUUAUAGAUGGACCCGCGUCGCAUUAGCUAGUUGGUGAGGUAACGGCUCACCAAGGCAACGAUGCGUAGCCGACCUGAGAGGGUGAUCGGCCACACUGGGACUGAGACACGGCCCAGACUCCUACGGGAGGCAGCAGUAGGGAAUCUUCCGCAAUGGACGAAAGUCUGACGGAGCAACGCCGCGUGAGUGAUGAAGGCUUUCGGGUCGUAAAACUCUGUUGUUAGGGAAGAACAAGUGCUAGUUGAAUAAGCUGGCACCUUGACGGUACCUAACCAGAAAGCCACGGCUAACUACGUGCCAGCAGCCGCAGUAA
rnacentral:rRNA from 1 species